rnacentral:lncRNA from 1 species
CAGAAUUGCUGUGUUGGAGAAAGUGAUUGUAGACAGAGAAUAAGGGUGGAUUUACCAUGUCAUUGAAUCAUUGCUUAGAAACAAUAGUAUGCAAAGUUUAUGAAGUGGGUGUAAAUUUUUGGUACUAUCAGUCUCAGCCUUACUCCUUUGUACAUGUUGGGUGUUUCAGGAUUCAGUAGCGCAUGAUUCCGUUGUACAUAAAAUCUUGUAGUGUUUUUAGAAUUUUAUAAUAAUCUACAGUUGGGACAGCCUUCAAUUAUCACCACUCCUUUCAAACACAGGAAAGACCUCACGCUGGAAAGAAACGCUAUGAUUGUAAGGAAUGUGGGAAAACCUUCAGU